GGUCCGGUAGUUCAGUUGGUUAGAAUGCCUGCCUGUCACGCAGGAGGUCGAGGGUUCGAGUCCCUUCCGGAUCGCCA
rnacentral:tRNA from 3 species